AGUGAACGCUGGCGGUAGGCCUAACACAUGCAAGUCGAACGGCAGCACAGUAAGAGCUUGCUCUUACGGGUGGCGAGUGGCGGACGGGUGAGGAAUACAUCGGAAUCUACUUUUUCGUGGGGGAUAACGUAGGGAAACUUACGCUAAUACCGCAUACGACCUACGUGUGAAAGCAGGGGAUCUUCGGACCUUGCGCGAUUGAAUGAGCCGAUGUCGGAUUAGCUAGUUGGCGGGGUAAAGGCCCACAAAGUCGACGAUCCGUAGCUGGUCUGAGAGGAUGAGGCGCCACACUGGAACUGGACCAAGGUACAGACUCCUACGGGACGCAGCAGUGGGGAAUAUAGGACAAUGGGAGCAAGCAUGAUCCAGCCAUACCGCGUGGGUGAAGAAGGCCUUGGGGUUGUAAAGUCAUUUUGUUGGGUAAGAAAAGCAGCAGGUUAAUACCACGCUGUUCUGACGGUACCAAAAGAAUAAGCACCGGCUAACUUCGUG
rnacentral:rRNA from 1 species